rnacentral:piRNA from 1 species
UGCAUGUUCUAGAUCCAGAAGCAGGUUGAGG